rnacentral:guide_RNA from 1 species
AUAUAAAAACAAACAAAAGAAAAGAACAGAAAGUUAGAGAGAAAUAUAUAUAU